UACGUAGGGUGCAAGCGUUGUCCGGAAUUAUUGGGCGUAAAGAGCUCGUAGGCGGUUUGUCGCGUCUGCUGUGAAAACUCGGGGCUUAACUCCGGGCCUGCAGUGGGUACGGGCAGACUAGAGUGCGGUAGGGGGAGACUGGAAUUCCUGGUGUAGCGGUGAAAUGCGCAGAUAUCAGGAGGAACACCGGUGGCGAAGGCGGCUCUCUGGGACGGUACUGACGCUGAGACGCGAAAAAGCGUGGGGGGAGCGAACAGG
rnacentral:rRNA from 1 species